CUACAGGAGGGUAUCUCUCCAGGAACAGGGUUGGAGAGCCCUGGACUAGAUAGAUGUAAACCUACAGGAUGGUAUCUCUGCAGGAACAGGGUUGGAGAGCCCUGGACUAGAUAGAUGUAAACCUACAGGAGGGUAUCUCUCCAGGAACAGGGUUGGAGAGCCCUGAACUAGAUAGAUGUAAACCUACAGGGCGGCAACAUGACUGUUUAGUGGUUUCUAGUGGCACAUCAAAUGUGUCUAUAUUCUGGUGAAAGAUCUGUGGUAGUUGAGAACUGUUCAUGGCUUUGAACCCCUCCUUCAUUCACCCUCUAUCAGACCGUUUUGAUCAUGAUCUGCUGUAUCAUUAUAACCAAACCUCUUACUGGUUGUUGUUGUCUCUCUCUCUCUCUCUCUCUCGCCUCCUCUCUCUCUCUCUCUCUCGACUCCUCUCUUUUCCCUCCUCUCUCUCUCUCCCUCCUUCUCUCUCUCCCUCCUCUUCUCUUUUCCCUCCUCUCCACAGUGAUGACAUUACAUGACCAGCGCAGGCAGGGGUGAUGGGCGGGUGCAUGACCAUGGCUUAAUAAUGAGUCGAGCUGAAAAUAACCCUUCAUCAAUUCAACACUAACCCUCAACUCUAACGGAGGACGGGCCGGGCGGGCGGGCCCAGAUUAUGCCCAGGACUGGGGGGGGUAAGGGCUCUCUACAGACCGAGACGGCGCCGCCCUCUCAGAGGCCACCCUAACCUACCGCCCCCCUCCUCCUCCUCCUUCCUUCACAGACCUGCAUCUGCUUGCGAACCUCUAUCGUCAUGACAUACUCUGAGACAACAACAGUCGUCUCUGGUGGGGUAACGGGGAGAGCUGGAGCUAGGGCUGGGGAUAAACAAAACAAAAACAUUUGAAAGAUUCUUCAUGCUGUGUCCAAGGUCAAAGAAACCUCUUGUUCUAAAUGUGUGGUGCAAAGCGAGGACUACAUGGAAGACAGUGUUAUUCUUAGUGACCGGAUGGUUUUCUGUAGACUUUGACAAUGACGAUGAUCAAGCGACUAGCAACACUGUACUGUAAACCUGGUGUGUAUCUGUUGGGUGUUCCACCCACUUCUCUCUCUUUGUGUUUCACUGGGUCUGAGAGGAAAAGAGCAAUAUCAUCAUUUAUUUCACAUGAUCCUCUAAUCAAAUGUGUAUAUACUGAGUGUACAAAACAUUAGACUCUGGACUCUACAAGGUGUCGAAGCCGUUCCACAGGGAUGCUGGUCCAUGUUAACUCCAAUACUUCCCACUGUUGUUCCAAGUUGGCUGGAUGUCUUUUGGGUGGUGAACCAUUCUUGAUCCACACGGGAAACUGUUGAGAGUGAAAAACCCAGCAGGGUUAAAGUUCACGACUCAAACCGGUGCGUCUGGCACCUACUAAUGUUCAAAGGAACUUCAAUAUUUUGUCUCGUCCAUUUCACCCUCUGAAUGGCACACAUACACAAUACAUGUCUCAAUUGUCUCAAGGCUUAAAAAUCCUUCUGUAACCUGUCUCCUCCCCUUCAUCUACCCGGUGUCCCAUGUCUAAAUCAGGCCCUGGUGUCCCAUGUCUAAAUCAGGCCCUGGUGUCCCAUGUCAAAAUCAGGCCCUGGUGUCCCAUGUCUAAAUCAGACCCUGGUGUCCCAUGUCUAAAUCAGACCCCGGUGUCCCAUGUCUAAAUCAGACCCCGGUGUCCCAUGUCUAAAUCAGGCCCCGGUGUCCCAUGUCUAAAUCAGGCCCUGGUGUCCCAUGUCUAAACCAGACCCUGGUGUCCCAUGUCUAAACCAGGCACCGGUGUCCCAUGUCUAAAUCAGGCCCUGGUGUCCCAUGUCUAAACCAGACCCUGGUGUCCCAUGUCUAAAUCAGGCCCUGGUGUCCCAUGUCUAAAUCAGACCUGGAUUCAAACUGUUCCAGAGUUGAGUUGGGGGGCUCUAUGUCACGGAAAGAGCAGGUGUUCUUAAUGUUUUCUACACUCAGUCUAGAUGUUCAGUUUCCAUGUAUUUCCGUUUAAGUGUUCUGAUGACUUCUCUAUGUAAGGAGUGCUCUGCUUCUUUAUUUCACUGAUAAUAACCUCGAUGUGUUUCUCUCUCUUUAAAUUGGUAGAAGAGAUCACAUGCUUCUAUCUAGCCUUUAUGACUUUGAUAUGUAUUCCUGUUUUUAUUCGCCUUACAUAUGCAGUAUUGACUUAGAUUCAUGCAUACAUAUGCAGUAUUGACUUAGAUUCAUACAUUUCCUACAUUGUAUAAAAUGUGUAAAACCUUUCUCUAACCUUUUUAUAAAACAAGUAGGCUUGUUGAUAGGAUGCCAUGGCAGAGCCUUUUUGAAAAAAUACAGCAAGAUGGCCGACGCAGUAAGACUGCCCUGUCCCGGGUCGUGGUUCAUUAGCAGAUGGCGGACGCAGUAAGACUGCCCUGUCCCGGGUCGUGGUUCAUUAGCAGAUGGCGGACGCAGUAAGACUGCCCUGUCCCGGGUCGUGGUUCAUUAGCAGAUGGCCGACGCAGUAAGACUGCCCUGUCCCGGGUCGUGGUUCAUUAGCAGAUGGCGGACGCAGUAAGACUGCCCUGUCCCGGGUCGUGGUUCAUUAGCAGAUGGCCGACGCAGUAAGACUGCCCUGUCCCGGGUCGUGGUUCAUUAGCAGAUGGCCCACGCAGUAAGACUGCCCUGUCCCGGGUCGUAGUUCAUUAGCAGAUGGCUCACGCAGUAAGACUGCCCUGUCCCGGGUCGUGGUUCAUUAGCAGAUGGCUCACGCAGUAAGACUGCCCUGUCCCGGGUCGUGGUUCAUUAGCAGAUGGCCCACGUAGUAAGACUGCCCUGUCCCGGGUCGUGGUUCAUUAGCAGAUGGCCCACGUAGUAAGACUGCCCUGUCCCGGGUCAUGUUCAUUAGGCACCAAACGUUAGAAAACGGACUGAAAUGGGGAUGUUCUACCUCCACCUGUCCAGUAUAAAACAUUCAUUUUAGUACGAGAACAAACACACGUUUUCAUUUUUUAUUGAACCUUUAUUGAACUAAGCAAGAACAAUUCUUAUUUACAAUGACGGCCUACCCUGUUCAAACCUUCCCCUAGCCCGGACGACACUGGGCCCGGGAUCGAACCCGGGUCUGUAGCGAUGCCUCUAGACCCGCUGCGUCACUAAUGGACCACUAACCAAUGGACAGACGGGUAGAAGUCAAAGAGGAUCUUUCCUAUCAUGUUAUAUCAUGAACAUGUUGAAAGUGCUUUCGCCUCGAGUGUAAAAACCAAACCGGUGUGAGUAAGACUAGACUUAUUGACUUGUUGCUGAUACUGUGUUUUUUUCAGUUUAUAAUAAAAGGAUGUGUCCAUAUUAUUAUGUAACUGAUGAACUUUGUAUGGCUGUUACUACUUGUGUUAAAUACUAGUCUCCUGACAUGUGGUGAUAUGAUUGGUAGGGCAACGUGUCUCUACUUGUGUUAAAUACUAGUCUCCUGACAUGUGGUGAUAUGAUUGGUAGGGCAACGUGUUACUACUUGUGUCCCAGAUCGGUUGGUCUCCUGGCAUGGUCCCAGAUCAGUUAGUCUCCUGGCCUGGUCCCAAAUCGGUUAGUCUCCUGGCCUGGUCCCAGAUCGGUUAGUCUCCUGGCCUGGUCCCAGAUCGGUUAGUCUCCUGGCCUGGUCCCAGAUCGGUUAGUCUCCUGGCCUGGUCCCAGAUCGGUUGGUCUCCUGGCCUGGUCCCAGAUCGGUUAGUCU
ensembl:lncRNA